CAGUCGCUGGGGCGGAUGGCCGGGCGCCGCGAGCCUGACGUGCCUGCGCAAGCCGACGAACCCGCCGUUCCGGCGGCCGCAGCGGCCGA
rnacentral:tRNA from 1 species